rnacentral:rRNA from 1 species
GGGUUGUGAGGUUAAGCGACUAAGCGUACACGGUGGAUGCCCUGGCAGUCAGAGGCGAUGAAGGACGUGCUAAUCUGCGAUAAGCGUCGGUAAGGUGAUAUGAACCGUUAUAACCGGCGAUUUCCGAAUGGGGAAACCCAGUGUGAUUCGUCACACUAUCAUUAACUGAAUCCAUAGGUUAAUGAGGCGAACCGGGGGAACUGAAACAUCUAAGUACCCCGAGGAAAAGAAAUCAACCGAGAUUCCCCCAGUAGCGGCGAGCGAACGGGGAGCAGCCCAGAGCCUGAAUCAGUGUGUGUGUUAGUGGAAGCGUCUGGAAAGGCGCGCGAUACAGGGUGACAGCCCCGUACACAAAAAUGCACAUACUGUGAGCUCGAUGAGUAGGGCGGGACACGUGGUAUCCUGUCUGAAUAUGGGGGGACCAUCCUCCAAGGCUAAAUACUCCUGACUGACCGAUAGUGAACCAGUACCGUGAGGGAAAGGCGAAAAGAACCCCGGCGAGGGGAGUGAAAAAGAACCUGAAACCGUGUACGUACAAGCAGUGGGAGCACAGAGCAAUCUGUGUGACUGCGUACCUUUUGUAUAAUGGGUCAGCGACUUAUAUUCUGUAGCAAGGUUAACCGAAUAGGGGAGCCGAAGGGAAACCGAGUCUUAACUGGGCGUUAAGUUGCAGGGUAUAGACCCGAAACCCGGUGAUCUAGCCAUGGGCAGGUUGAAGGUUGGGUAACACUAACUGGAGGACCGAACCGACUAAUGUUGAAAAAUUAGCGGAUGACUUGUGGCUGGGGGUGAAAGGCCAAUCAAACCGGGAGAUAGCUGGUUCUCCCCGAAAGCUAUUUAGGUAGCGCCUCGUGAAUUCAUCUCCGGGGGUAGAGCACUGUUUCGGCAAGGGGGUCAUCCCGACUUACCAACCCGAUGCAAACUGCGAAUACCGGAGAAUGUUAUCACGGGAGACACACGGCGGGUGCUAACGUCCGUCGUGAAGAGGGAAACAACCCAGACCGCCAGCUAAGGUCCCAAAGUCAUGGUUAAGUGGGAAACGAUGUGGGAAGGCCCAGACAGCCAGGAUGUUGGCUUAGAAGCAGCCAUCAUUUAAAGAAAGCGUAAUAGCUCACUGGUCGAGUCGGCCUGCGCGGAAGAUGUAACGGGGCUAAACCAUGCACCGAAGCUGCGGCAGCGACGCUUAUGCGUUGUUGGGUAGGGGAGCGUUCUGUAAGCCUGCGAAGGUGUGCUGUGAGGCAUGCUGGAGGUAUCAGAAGUGCGAAUGCUGACAUAAGUAACGAUAAAGCGGGUGAAAAGCCCGCUCGCCGGAAGACCAAGGGUUCCUGUCCAACGUUAAUCGGGGCAGGGUGAGUCGACCCCUAAGGCGAGGCCGAAAGGCGUAGUCGAUGGGAAACAGGUUAAUAUUCCUGUACUUGGUGUUACUGCGAAGGGGGGACGGAGAAGGCUAUGUUGGCCGGGCGACGGUUGUCCCGGUUUAAGCGUGUAGGCUGGUUUUCCAGGCAAAUCCGGAAAAUCAAGGCUGAGGCGUGAUGACGAGGCACUACGGUGCUGAAGCAACAAAUGCCCUGCUUCCAGGAAAAGCCUCUAAGCAUCAGGUAACAUCAAAUCGUACCCCAAACCGACACAGGUGGUCAGGUAGAGAAUACCAAGGCGCUUGAGAGAACUCGGGUGAAGGAACUAGGCAAAAUGGUGCCGUAACUUCGGGAGAAGGCACGCUGAUAUGUAGGUGAAGUCCCUCGCGGAUGGAGCUGAAAUCAGUCGAAGAUACCAGCUGGCUGCAACUGUUUAUUAAAAACACAGCACUGUGCAAACACGAAAGUGGACGUAUACGGUGUGACGCCUGCCCGGUGC